rnacentral:lncRNA from 1 species
CAGUAACAUUUUUGCUGCGUUGCCGGAUCCCUUAAUUUGAAAUUGGAAAUUCUUCAAGGAAAACCUAUUUUGGGGGCUGGAAACUGUCCACAGGUCUCUAGUUUGUGACCGUGUCUGGAAAAAGAUGAGAGGACGCCAAGAUCAGUAGAACAAUGACUGGAACCCAGAUGAAGAUCACCUAUAACCUGUUAUCUUGCAAGAGGACUACUGACUCUUAAGAGCCCACCCUCAUUUGGUCCCAAAGAUUAUCUCUGCUUUGUACCAUCCUUGCAUGGGAUUUCCCAUAGAUAGAUAGACUCCAGCUGGUGUGCUCUAUUCUCCUGGGUCCAAUGCUUGUCAUUAUAUUUAUCAGCUGAGUCACCACUUCUAGUUUUUAGCAUAGGACCUUAUCAAGAGUAAGUCUACCAACACCAAGGGCAU